UAGGGAAUCUUCCGCAAUGGGCGAAAGCUUGACGGAGCAACGCCGCGUGAGUGAUGAAGGUCCUCGGAUCGUAAAACUCUGUUAUUAGGGAAGAACAAAUGUGUAAGUAACUAUGCACGUCUUGACGGUACCUAAUCAGAAAGCCACGGCUAACUACGUGCCAGCAGCCGCGGUAAUACGUAGGUGGCAAGCGUUAUCCGGAAUUAUUGGGCGUAAAGCGCGCGUAGGCGGUUUUUUAAGUCUGAUGUGAAAGCCCACGGCUCAACCGUGGAGGGUCAUUGGAAACUGGAAAACUUGAGUGCAGAAGAGGAAAGUGGAAUUCCAUGUGUAGCGGUGAAAUGCGCAGAGAUAUGGAGGAACACCAGUGGCGAAGGCGACUUUCUGGUCUGUAACUGACGCUGAUGUGCGAAAGCGUGGGGAUCAAACAGG
rnacentral:rRNA from 1 species